rnacentral:rRNA from 1 species
GAUGAACGCUGACAGAAUGCUUAAAACAUGCAAGUCAACUGUGGCGGACGGGUGAGUAACGCGUAAAGAACUUGCCUCACAGGUAGGGACAACAUUUGGAAACGAAUGCUAAUACCUGAUACUGUGAGGGAGCUUUGCGUCCCAUUAGCUGUUUGGAGAGGUAACGGCUCACCAAGGCGAGGAUGGGUAGCCGACCUGAGAGGGUGAUCGGCCACAUGGGGACUGGGACACGGCCCUUACUCCUACGGGAGGCAGGAGUGUGAAAUAUUGGACAAUGGACCAAAGUCUGAUCCAGCUAUUCGGUGUGCACGAUGAAGUUUUCGGAAUGUAAAGUGCUUUCAGUUGGGAAGCGGUACCAACAGAAGAAGUGACGGCUAAAUACGUGCCAGCAGCCGCGGUAAUAC